rnacentral:tmRNA from 1 species
AGUUGCCAACGACGACAACUACGCACUAGCUGCUUAAAAACCAGUUUAGUGCCUUCUGCCCAGCUGUACUUGUGCGGCCGGAUCCCAGGAGUCACUUACACAAGAUCGCGGUGAGGACAUGUUCAGGGCCUAAUCCGUUAAAUCCUUACUGAGCUGGUUACAGGUUUUCCCUGCCCGUCGGGUAGCCCGUAAUGAGAUUAAAGACGGUAUAAGCAUGUAGACCUCGUAGUGGAGGAUUUGCGGACGCCGGUUCGAUACCGGCCGCCUCCACCA